rnacentral:rRNA from 1 species
AGAUUGAACGCUGGCGGCAUGCCUAACACAUGCAAGUCGAACGGGAGUAGCAAUACUCUAGUGGCGGACGGGUGAGGAAUACGUAGGAAUUUGCCCUUAAGUGGGGGAUAACCCGGGGAAACCCGGAUUAAUACCGCAUGACCUCGAAAGAGCAAAGUGGGGGAUCGCAAGACCUCACGCUUUUGGAGAAGCCUACGUCGGAUUAGCUAGUUGGUGAGGUAAUGGCUCACCAAGGCGACGAUCCGUAACUGGUCUGAGAGGAUGAUCAGUCACACCGGAACUGAGACACGGUCCGGACUCCUACGGGAGGCAGCAGUGGGGAAUAGUUGGACAAUGGGCGCAAGCCUGGAUCCAGCAAUGCCGCGUGCGUGAAGAAGCCUAGGUGUAAGACACGUUAAGUUAGGUAAGAAAACGACGCUACUAA